GGGUGUGAGGAUAUUCCCACAGUGACAUCUGUGGCCCCAAGGAUUGCCAGGGUGGGUUGCUGGGCGGGUGUCUCCUCUCUCUCAUGCUGCUCUGUUCAUGCCACCUCUUAAACUGUGGGACAGAUGUACAGGGAGCCAAGGGGAAGGAAGACAACCUUCUCUGCUAGAGAAGGCAUGGUCUUUAGUCAAGGCUGCCCGAGUAGCUGUGUACUCUGCAAGAGUCUCAUGACUGCCUGGGCCCUGGUUUCUUUAUCUGUACCACAGGAAGAUUAGGCAGAGGCUCUUUGUCUUGUUU
rnacentral:snRNA from 1 species